rnacentral:rRNA from 3 species
AGACCCGAAACCCGGUGAUCUAGCCAUGGGCAGGUUGAAGGUUGGGUAACACUAACUGGAGGACCGAACCGACUAAUGUUGAAAAAUUAGCGGAUGACCUGUGGCUGGGGGUGAAAGGCCAAUCAAACCGGGAGAUAGCUGGUUCUCCCCGAAAGCUAUUUAGGUAGCGCCUCGUGAAUUCAUCUCCGGGGGUAGAGCACUGUUUCGGCUAGGGGGCCAUCCCGGCUUACCAACCCGAUGCAAACUGCGAAUACCGGAGAAUGUUAUCACGGGAGACACACGGCGGGUGCUAACGUCCGUCGUGAAGAGGGAAACAACCCAGACCGCCAGCUAAGGUCCCAAAGUCAUGGUUAAGUGGGAAACGAUGUGGGAAGGCCCAGACAGCCAGGAUGUUGGCUUAGAAGCAGCCAUCAUUUAAAGAAAGCGUAAUAGCUCACUGGUCGAGUCGGCCUGCGCGGAAGAUGUAACGGGGCUAAACCAUGCACCGAAGCUGCGGCAGCGAACGUAUCACCCAAGACAACUUUACGGAGUUGACGAUUGACGGAGCGAAGCGACGUCAAAGCGUUCAUUAAAGUCGAGUUGGCUUAGGGAUACGUUCGUUGGGUAGGGGAGCGUUCUGUAAGCCUGUGAAGGUGUGUCGUGAGGCAUGCUGGAGGUAUCAGAAGUGCGAAUGCUGACAUAAGUAACGAUAAAGCGGGUGAAAAGCCCGCUCGCCGGAAGACCAAGGGUUCCUGUCCAACGUUAAUCGGGGCAGGGUGAGUCGACCCCUAAGGCGAGGCCGAAAGGCGUAGUCGAUGGGAAACGGGUUAAUAUUCCCGUACUUGGUGUUACUGCGAAGGGGGGACGGAGAAGGCUAUGUUGGCCGGGCGACGGUUGUCCCGGUUUAAGCGUGUAGGUGUGUGUUCCAGGUAAAUCCGGUUCACUUUAACACUGAGGCGUGACGACGAGGCACUACGGUGCUGAAGCAACAAAUGCCCUGCUUC